CCGUAGCUUAGUGGUAGAGCAUCUGUCUUGCAUCCUGACAGCCCUGGGAUUCAACCCCUGGCUGGGAGA